rnacentral:lncRNA from 1 species
AUGUACAUUUUACUGUUGAACUCACAAAGGUCUGGGCUAAUGCUUUUCCCCACAGGGUGCCAAGACACAAGUAAGCACAACGCAACUGUGAGACAGUUAUUAUGGGACUCUUAUUACAUUUGGCGCAUCCACACGCUCUCUCUCCCUUUGUCUCAAACACACACACACACUCUCUCCCUUUGUCUCAAACACACCCUCUCUCUUUGUCUCAAACACACCCUCUCUCUCUUUCUCUCUGUCUCAAACACUCUGUCUCAAACACUCUCGCUCUCCCUUUGUCUCAAACACACACACUCUCUUCCUUUGUCUCAAACACACUCUCUCCCACUGUCUCAAACACUCUCUCUCUGUCGCCCUUUGUCUCAAAACACACACACAAUCACUCCCCUGGUCUCAAACACACUCUCUCCCCCUGUCUCAAACACUCAGUCCCUCUCUAAAACACACACUCUCUCUCUCUCCCUCUCUUUUUCUCUCUCUCCCCGUCUCAAACGCUCUCUCUCUCUCUGUCUCAAACACUCUUUCUCCCCCCCUUGUCUCAAACACUCUCACGCUGGCACGCACACACUCCUUCUCUCCUCCCUUUGUCUGUCUGUCUGUCUCUCUCUCACACACACGCACAUACACACACCAUCACAAAAAAGGUCACAGAACACAUUUGACAAGGAGUUAUCCCUCCCAACUCAUACUGAAGCACUUUCAUUACUCCAGUGCCAUGUUAAAGUCCUGCCUCUUCCUGUGGGAAUGGGUGAGGGAGAGUUAUGUCCCAUGUCAACACAGCUUAGAGGCCUUCCCAGCCUCUCCACCCACCCACCCACCCACCCUCACAGCAUGACAGCAGGGGUUAUUGCAGCCAUACUUAAUAGUAGCCUGGGGCCAGAUCUCUUAGUGAUGUAUCCAAAUGUAUCUAUUUGUUUGGCAAUGACAAUGACCAUAGGGGUUGGAUACAGCACAAACAGAUCUGGGUCCAGGCUAACUAAACAGAUCAAGACUAGAGUGCAAAUGGCGUGUAACAACAACACAACGAGAAUAGAGAGAUUCUUAGUCACUUUAUGA